CGCUGACCGAUUUAUAAAAUCUCUGUUGUUAGAGACGCAAACAAACGCACAUAUAAAUAAUGCGUGGCCUUUCAUUUGCGCUAUUUAGCCGAAUCCGGAAGACCAACAUAUUUCAGAAAGAUGGCAUGUCCCGCAUGUAAAGGUGGUGGAGUUUGUUUCAAGUGUGAUAAAUGCGGGGCUUUACAAUGUAAGAACAAGUCGUGUAAAAACUUCAGCCCGAAAGCUGCAAGCGGUUGCGCCAGUUGUGGCAAGUCUGGUGGUCAAAAAUCCGUGUAGUCGACACCUGUUUUACAAACUAUACAUGUACAACUGCCGGUCAGUCAACAUCUCUGUGACAUAGCAUAGUUAAAUUUACUUCACAUUGAGAACUAUGUGCAUGAAACUGCCUUUAUUGAUUAUGAAUUUAUAAUAAAUAUCAAAUGUC